AACAGGAUUAGAUACCCUGGUAGUCCACGCCGUAAACGAUGAUUGCUAGCUGUCCCGGGAACUUGGUUUUUGGGUGGCUCAACUUACGCAUUAAGUUAUCCCGCCUGGGGAGUACGGCCGCAAGGUUAAAACUCAAAUGAAUUGACGGGGGACUGCACAAGCGGUGGAGCAUGUGGUUUAAUUCGAAGCAACGCGCAGAACCUUACCAGCGUUUGACAUGUCCGGACGAUUUCCAGAGAUGUAUCUCUUCCCUUCGGGGACUGGAACACAGGUGCUGCAUGGCUGUCGCCAGCUCGUGUCGUGAGAAGUUGGGUUAAGUCCCGCAACGAGCGCAACCCUCGCCUUUAGUUACCAUCAUUCAGUUGGGUACUCUAAAGGAACCGCCGGUGAUAAGCCGGAGGAAGGUGGGGAUGACGUCAAGUCCUCAUGGCCCUUAUGGGACUGGGCUCACACACGUGCUACAAUGGCAAUUACAAUGGGAAGCAAGGCUGUAAGGCGGAGCGAAUCCGGAAAGAUUGCCUCAGUUCGGAUUGUUCUCUGCAACUCGGGAGACAUGAAGUUGGAAUCGCUAGUAAUCGCGGAUCAGCAUGCCGCGGUGAAUACGUUCCCAGGCCUUGUACACACCCCCCGUCACACCACGGGAGUUGGAUUCACCCGAAGGCGUUGCGCUAAAUCGCAAGAGAGGCAGGCGACCACGGUGGGGUCAGCGACUGGGGUGACGUCGUAACAAGGUAACC
rnacentral:rRNA from 1 species